AGGUACUACCCAGGACCACAACGGGUAUCAUCUGAUUGACCUGAAGAGUCUGGGGGAAUACACUGUGGAAAAAGCACUUCCAGAAUGGAAGACUGAGGACUUCUGAAAAUCCUCUCCAUAAAUGAAUGAGAACAAAAGCAAAUAUUGCUAAAAUCAACUUCAGAACUGGAAACUGCCCAAAGAUUUAUAACAAUCUGAAAAGAGUUUAUUCAAGACAAAAAGUAUACAUUAUGUUAAGAACAGUGCAAUUUGGAAUAUUUUAACUUGCCCUAUUCCUGUUUCCUUUUCCCUAGCUCAGUAAUAACUGUAAAAUCCUACAGCAAUUCCACUAUUAUCACAGUAAUACAGUAAGACUUUGAAAACUA